rnacentral:rRNA from 1 species
CCUCCCAAAGAGUAACGGAGGAGCACGAAGGUUAGCUAAUCCUGGUCGGACAUCAGGAGGUUAGUGCAAUGGCAUAAGCUAGCUUGACUGCGAGAGUGACGGCUCGAGCAGGUGCGAAAGCAGGUCAUAGUGAUCCGGUGGUUCUGAAUGGAAGGGCCAUCGCUCAACGGAUAAAAGGUACUCCGGGGAUAACAGGCUGAUACCGCCCAAGAGUUCAUAUCGACGGCGGUGUUUGGCACCUCGAUGUCGGCUCAUCACAUCCUGGGGCUGAAGUAGGUCCCAAGGGUAUGGCUGUUCGCCAUUUAAAGUGGUACGCGAGCUGGGUUUAGAACGUCGUGAGACAGUUCGGUCCCUAUCUGCCGUGGGCGCUGGAGAAUUGAGGGGGGCUGCUCCUAGUACGAGAGGACCGGAGUGGACGCAUCACUGGUGUUCGGGUUGUCAUGCCAAUGGCACUGCCCGGUAGCUAAAUGCGGAAAAGAUAAGUGCUGAAAGCAUCUAAGCACGAAACUUGCCCCGAGAUG